GAGGAAUAUUGGGCAAUGGGCGGAAGCCUGACCCAGCCACGCCGCGUGAGUGAUGAAGGCCUUCGGGUUGUAAAGCUCUGUGGGGAGGGAAGAAAAACUCGGGUUCGAAUAGGGCCUGAGGUUGACGGUACCUCCUUAGCAAGCACCGGCUAACUCUGUGCCAGCAGCCGCGGUAAGACAGAGGGUGCAAACGUUGCUCGGAAUUACUGGGCGUAAAGGGCGCGUAGGCGGACUUGGAAGUCGGGUGUGAAAUCCCUGGGCUCAACCUAGGAACUGCACUCGAAACUCCGAGUCUAGAGUGACGGAGAGGAAAGCGGAAUUCCCGGUGUAGAGGUGAAAUUCGUAGAUAUCGGGAGGAACACCAGAGGCGAAGGCGGCUUUCUGGACGUCCACUGACGCUGAGGCGCGAAAGCGUGGGGAGCAAAC
rnacentral:rRNA from 1 species